rnacentral:rRNA from 1 species
CUAUCCCACGGGACGCAGCAGUAGGGAAUCUUCGGCAAUGGGGGCAACCCUGACCGAGCAACGCCGCGUGAGUGAAGAAGGUUUUCGGAUCGUAAAGCUCUGUUGUAAGAGAAGAACGUGUGUGAGAGUGGAAAGUUCACACAGUGACGGUAACUUACCAGAAAGGGACGGCUAACUACGUGCCAGCAGCCGCGGUAAUACGUAGGUCCCGAGCGUUGUCCGGAUUUAUUGGGCGUAAAGCGAGCGCAGGCGGUUUAAUAAGUCUG